CAGCGCGUGUGUCCUCCCCCCCAGUUGUCUCAUUUGAACUUGCUCUCGUCUCCUUUUGUCAGUCAGGAAAAAAAAAAAAAGAAAAAUCAUCAUAAUCUAAUAAACUGACGCUGAGCCUGAAGCUGUGUCAGCAGACUUUUUUUUUAUUUUAUGCCAACAAUUUCAUGUCUAAUUGCUAAAGCUUUAGUUUUUUCUGACUCAAACGUUCAUGUUCAUCUCUGGAGGAACUGUGUGUUCACCGAUAUGGAGAAAGUGGAAUACGGAGAAAAACGCUGAAAAAACUCCCAGGGAGGAGAGAGUCUGCCUGCAGCGCCGCUUCACUCUGCAUGGGCCACCAUCCUUCACUGGAUCACCUUUACCACGGUGUCCCCGUCCAGACUUGUGUCCUCCUCUUCCUCUUCCUCCUCCUCUUCCUCGUCACCUCUUGGACCCUGGACUCUUCUCCCUAAAAUGCUUUGCUAAAGCUGGUAAAAUGGAACCAAAUCAACUGUUCAAUGGAUUUGGUCCCCUUCAACCAGCUGUAGCUGUGCAUUGAUCACACGACCGCGCACGAGUGCAAGUGCUGAGGGACGAGGGACGAGGGAAGAGCCGAGGGACGAGCCGAGGGACGAGCCGAGGGACGAGCCGAGGGACAGAGAAAACGCUGGGACUGGAAGAGCAGAGCUCAUUGACUGGGAACCGCUUUUCUUUUUUUCUUUUUUUAAAUCUGAAAGUGAAGCUGCACAAUUGAGCCGUGGAAAGAAACACAACAUGCAUCAGUUGCUUCACCUGUGUGGAUUUGUCGCUAUCACACACACACACACACACACAUUACCCAAAAUGACUAGAGCUAAAUAAAGAAAUCCAGGUAAGUAAUUAUAGAUAGUGUCUCUUGGUGACUUUCUGGAUUAGAUGUGUACUGAUGUAAUUGUUCUGUGAAAACCUUGUAUAUGUGUGUGUGUGUGUGUGUGUGUCCUAUUGCACAUGUCUAAUCAAUAAAGUUUCAUCAUGACGUUGUUAGAAAGUGCUGAGGUGGUCUUUGCUUUGAAGCGUGGUCUCCGGGGAGUUCCCUGGCGAUGUACACGGCUCACUGGUGUAUACAUAAGUAAACGUACAGUGGGUCGACACAGCAUUAAUGCAAAUGAUGGCAAAGUUUAAUCAGGAGCAGCGCGUUCUGCAUUGUGUACUCUGCUGCCAACGUUCCUUACUAUUCAUCUUGAUGGAUUUAUUUAAGGAUUGAAGGGUGCAUUGUUCACUUAACUUUCAUUUUAUUUUAGUUGGUCAAAAAACACUUUACAAAUAGAUACUUUAUUCAGCCGUGAAGGGAAAAAGUAGACGUCCAGCCUGUGUUGUCCUCAUUGUGACAGAUUAAGAACAUUUACACCAAAUAAAAUGUCUUAUGGUGAUAGAAUAGAAUGAUUGUUUAAGUUUGCUGCCUGUAUGUCUGAAGGCUUGGAGGAAUAAAACAUCACUUUAGUCUA